rnacentral:rRNA from 1 species
AACAGCUCAAAUUUGAAAUCUGGCUCCCUUGGGGGUCCGAGUUGUAAUUUGUAGAGGAUGCUUCGGGCAAGGCUGCGGUCUAAUUCGCUUGGAACAGCGGGUCACAGAGGGUGAGAAUCCCGUCUAGGACCGUGCGCCGCGUCCGUGUGAAGCUCCUUCGACGAGUCGAGUUGUUUGGGAAUGCAGCUCUAAAUGGGUGGUAAAUUUCAUCUAAAGCUAAAUAUUGGCCAGAGACCGAUAGCGCACAAGUAGAGUGAUCGAAAGAUGAAAAGCACUUUGAAAAGAGAGUUAAACAGUAUGUGAAAUUGUUGAAAGGGAAGCGCUUGCAACCAGACUUGCGUGUGACGGUUCCCCCCACCUUCUGGUGGGGCUACUCCGUCAUCUCCAGGCCAGCAUCGGUUUGGGUGGUCGGUUAAAGACCCCGGGAAUGUAUCUACCUUCGGGUCGACUUAUAGCCCGGGGUGCAAUGCGACCCACCCGGACCGAGGAACGCGCUUCGGCCCGGAUGCUGGCGUAAUGGUUGUAAGCGGCCCGUCUUGAAACACGGACCAAGGAGUCUAACAUCUAUGCGAGUGUUUGGGUGUCAAACCCCUACGCGUAAUGAAAGUGAACGGAGGUGAGAACCCCGCAAGGGGCGCAUCAUCGACCGAUCCUGAUGUCUUCGGAUGGAUUUGAGUAAGAGCAUAGCUGUUGGGACCCGAAAGAUGGUGAACUAUGCCUGAAUAGGGUGAAGCCAGAGGAAACUCUGGUGGAGGCUCGCAGCGGUUCUGACGUGCAAAUCGAUCGUCAAAUUUGGGCAUAGGGGCGAAAGACCAAUCGAACCAUCCUCAUGGCAAUCCUGUAAAGAAACAGAUGUGUGAGGUUCUCAUAGCCGAAGGCUCUGAGUAGUAAGAUUACAUCUUUAAGCGUUGCCAGGUGGUUAAUUUCCCAACUUUGAGUUGGGUCAGUCUGAUACCUUGGUAUUGGGCGACGUCGUCAGUCUUCGGGGAUGUCCUUACGGCUAUCCGAAGCCGUCCUUAUGUCGGGACGGUUCACAGACUAGACAGUGACGGCCGGAGCCUUUUGACCGGCGACGGUGAUUAUAUAGUCGAGUAAAGUUAAUGGAUCUUGCGAGUAUUUUAACCAGAAUACUCGGUAGACCGUACGUGAUCAUGUACGCCUUAUUAGGCUCGUAGGCUUCUUUGAGGUUGGUCUUGAGAGAAUUCCGUAACUUUUGAACGCUGGUAGCUGGUUCCUGUCGAAGUUUCCCUCAGGAUAGCAGUAACGUUUUCAGUUUUAUGAGGUAAAGCGAAUGAUUAGAGGCCUUGGGGUUGAAACAACCUUAACCUAUUCUCAAACUUUAAAUAUGUAAGAAGUCCUUGUUGCUUAAUUGAAC